UCAUAUCUUCUCAGCGCUUCUCC
rnacentral:snRNA from 1 species